rnacentral:rRNA from 1 species
GAAAUGCGAUAAGUAAUGUGAAUUGCAGAAUUCAGUGAAUCAUCGAAUCUUUGAACGCACCUUGCGCUCCUUGGUAUUCCGAGGAGCAUGCCUGUUUGAGUGUCAUUAAUAUACAUAUAUCAAGCCUUCUCUUGUAGAAGGGUUUGGAUGUGGGGGUUUGCUGGCCUCUUAAUCUUAAGAGUUCAGCUCUCCUGAAAUGCAUUAGCAGAACAACCUUAUGUUCAUUGGUGUGAUAACUAUCUACGCUAUUGAAUGUUGAGAGGGAAGUUCAGCUUUCUAACGGUCCCUUGGACAACUCAUCAUUAAUGUGACCUCAAAUCAGGUAGGACUACCCGCUGAACUUAAGCAUAUCAAUAAGCGGAGGAAAAGAAACU